rnacentral:lncRNA from 10 species
GCAAAAGAGAAGUUGCUGUUGAAGCACUGGUUCUAUUAUCACGCCUCUCCAGCCCUUUGGAGUCCCGGCCUCCAGCUUUUGAAACCGUCCCCGGGGCAACAGAGUCCCUUGCUCAGAUGUCGUUCGGUAUCUGGGACUGGGAGGGGUCCUGGACCACACGCAUUCUCACUCUGUGAUUUUGCUUAUCCCCCAGGUGAGGCUCCGGGGCUGCCUAGACCCUAGGAAGAAGCUGUCCUGUAGAACUUUCUGCCCUGAUGGAAAUGUUCCAAGUCUGCGCCGUCUGAUACAGUAUCAGCCACAUUGGCCACUGAGCAUUUGAACUGAGGCUAGUGCUGAUGGAAUUUAAAUUUUAUUGAAUUUUUAUAAAAUUUUAAUAACUCCAAGUGGCUAGUGGCUGCUGUGUUGGAUAGCGCAGGCCCAGACAGCAGGGACAACUGCAUCAUCAGAAAACUGCCAGACCACUUCUCUCCGCCAGGUCCAUUCUCCUUUCUCCACUCUGGAAUGCCCUCCUCCCACCAAGGCCCACGCCAGAUGGAGGUGGAUGCCACACCCACACCUUAAGGUUAUGUUCUGCUUCCCCAGAGAGAAAUGAUCUUUUCAAGGUCCAUUUCCAAAGGAGAAUAUGCUCUGAGGGUGGAGGUAGGGGUGAAUCUGCAUCUCACCUUCCUUCCUUCUUACUUGACAAUCAAGUUCUCAGACAACAAACAAAACAGGACAGAAACGAAAUAGAAUAAUGGUAGAAAUCCUAUCCAAUCGAAACAAUACAGAAAGGUUGUGUCUAGUAUACAGUGGAGAUUAGUGUGUGUUGGGUGUUCUAUUGGAGGUCCUUCCCUUGGUUUAGGUUUAGGGCCUAAGCAUUCAGAAUGCAGUUUCAUAAUCGUGGUGCCAAGAGAGACAGACAGAUGGAGAGAGGGGUAGUGUUGAGGCAUCAGACACAUCUCAUCUCUAAACCUUUCCCUGCAGAUCACCAUCUGAGUCAUGACUUCCCGUCGUUUGUCUUCAGUGAUCUGGUUGGUGCAAACGUAUGAGGUGACUGGAAUUCCUUAGCCCCUGACAUAGCUGUUAAUUUUUCUUUAAUGCAUUGCUGCUUUUCAAUGUCAUUAGUCACUGUUUAUCUCAGUUAUUAUUCACAAGAAAUAGGUUGGUGAUUCAUGUAAGGAUCAGUUUGUUAAUGGAUUUACAGUAUGCACUUUAAUGUUUUAAACUGGCAAUUAAGUCAAUUCUUGAUAAAAUAUGCUUUUUGCACCACAGGUGACAAUACAGAACAAACAGCAGGAGAAAAUAGACGUGCUCAAAACUGGGUGAUUGAUUUGAAAACAACAGAGAAAGAACUAUUAAUUAAACACUUGCUGAGCAUGUGAAUAGAUCACGGGCUCCAAGACC